rnacentral:rRNA from 1 species
UACGGAAGGGGCAAGCGUUGUUCGGAAUCAUUGGGCGUAAAGGGCGCGUAGGUGGUUCUGUAUGUCUACCGUGAAAGCAUACAGCUCAACUGUAUUUUGUCGGUAGAAACUGCAGGACUUGAGGCUGGGAGGGGCUGGUGGAAUUCCCUGUGUAGCGGUGAAAUGCGUAGAGAUGGGGGAGAACACUCGUGGCGAAGGCGGCCAGCUAGACCAGUUCUGACACUGAGGCGCGAUAGCGUGGGGAGCAAACAGG